rnacentral:lncRNA from 1 species
AAUUAUAUGACAGUUUUUGAAGAUUGGAAGGUGCGGUUGGAACAACAAUUUCAAGGCCUACAUUUUUUAUGAAAGAAUUGUUGCUUUUGGAAUUCAUGUGAAGGAGUUAUAGGGAGUUGAAGGCGGCGCUUCCAAAUCAAAGGUAGUAAGUGAGCGGUUUUGUUUAUAGUAAUGGUUGGAGACAUAACUUGAAUUUUUGGACGAAAUUUUGGGUCAAGCUUUUUAGAAAAUAUAACAUUUUGUGUUAAGAAGCUAUACAUAAUAUAUUUCGUAGCAUUUGAGCUUAUAUUUUGUGAAAUAUGAAGAAAAUUGUACUCGAUAUAUAAAAACAAGGAUUUAAAGCGAUUGUUAGGAUUUUCAAGAUAUCUCAAGAUCCGCAACAAAUUUGUAGUUGAAAUUUAUUAUAGAAGUUGAUAAAAAUACAUCAGUACCUCAUGUAAAAUUUGAGUUUGUUUAAACAAUCGGAUUAAAAGAUAUGAAGUGUUGAAAUUUGGAAAAAAUUUCUACAUAAGGAUAUACAAGGUUUUUUAAGAUUUUAUCAUAUUUUGGGUGUUGUUGGUUACUUGAGGCUUAUGUAUUUGGUAUAAUUGCUCAAAAAGAGAAAAUUUAUAUAUAAACUUAGGGCUUCCCUUAUUUUAAAGCUUAAUUGAGUAAUUAAUAUUAACUUGAAGCCCAACAUUUUUUUGAGGUAAAUUCUCUCUACCUCGAUAGCGUUUAAUUAGUUGGAUUUCAAUGGUUUGGUAAUUACAGCAAUAUAUGUUUGAGAUUUAAAUUCUUAAAUUUUUCAUUAUAUAUAUAUAUAUAUAUAUAUAAAUUAUUUUAUUUUAUUUUUAUUAUUUUUUUUCUUACUUAUGUUUAAACUUUAUCUAAGCUUGAAGUUUCUUUUGUAUAUCUACCUCGAUUCUUAAUUUUCUUUCUAUUAAUAAAAGAUUUUAUAAAAAUAAGGUUAAAUUUAUAAAAAUAAAUAUAUGAAAAAAAAAUAUGGAAGAAGAAACCAAAGAAUUUAGUUAGAAAGGGGAUUGUAAAGAAAAUCUAAAUACUUUGGUCAAAAAAGAAGCAUGGGGAGAAGAAACCAAAGUAAUUAAUCAACAAGGAAAAGCAUAGGAAAGAAAAAUACAAUGGAAGUUGGAAUAAGUUAAAGUACAAUAAAGAGUUGAUGGAGAGGAUAAAAAGAGAAGUUGGAGUAUGCUAACAAAAUCAGAAGGAAAGGCAAGUUGCAUAAUCUAUAUUAUAAUUUGAAUUAUAAAGCCAAUAGAAUUUGAACCAUUUUUAAUUUAAUUUUUUUUUAUAUCAUUUAAAUGAUAAUAGCAUAAAUAAAUAUUUUUAUUCCAUUGAAAUUACAACCUUUGAUAAUGGAAAAGUAGGUUACUUCCAAAUUCUAAAAUUCCGAAAAUAUAAGAAUUUAUCAAUUCUAAAAUUUGUUUUUAAAACCUCCAUAAUAUCUUAAUUAUAUAUUCUUUGAAAAAACUAAAUACACCGAUAAAUUCAUAAUAUUUCAAAAUAAGAAGAUAGGUCUCUUCAAAAUAUUGAAAUUCUUUACAAAAAAAAAAAAAAAUCAACUCUACAUCUAAAAAUCAAAGUGUUUAUAUUUACCAAAUGAAAGAAGCAUAUGUAAAGUUAAUUACAUUAUUAGAACUACAACCUUUAAAAAUAGGGAAGGCGGGCCAAUUCAAAAUUCUAAAAAAAAUACGUGAAUUUUUAAAAAAUACGUGAAUUUUUAAAAAAUACACAUAAUUCUAAAUCUUAAAUUUAAACCUAGCUAAUAAUUAUAGAUAUUUUCUAAAGAACAAAAUUUAUGUAGAUUGUAUAGGUAUUAUCUAAUAUUAUAUUGAUCUCUAUUGGAUUAAUUAAAGAGAAUAUAUACUAUCUAUUAGAUAGCUAUUUUUUAAGAUUUAAAAUUUAAUAAUUAGAACUUUAUGUAUACUUCAAAUUUUUGAAAUUUUCAUUCAACUAAAAAAAUAUUCAAUUCUACAUCUAAAAGUCAAAGAAUAUGUAUCUACCAAAUGAAAGAAAUAUAAGUAAAGUUAAUUGCACCAUUGGAACUACAAUCUUUAAAAAUAGGAAGAUAGGUCAAUUCAAAAUUCCAAAAAAGGUAUGUGAAUUUUUUGGAAACAUAUAUAUAAUCCUAAAUCUUAAAUCCUAAUUCCUAAACCUAAAUCCUAAAUCUUAAAUCCUAAUUCCUAAACCUAAAUCUUAAAUCCUAAUUCCUAAACCAAAAUCCUAAAUCUAAAACUCCUAAACUCUAAAAUCCUAAAUCCUAAACUUUGCCACUAUAUUUAAUAAUAUAAUAUAAAUUGGCAUGUCCAUGAAUAACACAUUGCAUAGACUUUGUAAU